rnacentral:misc_RNA from 1 species
GAUGAAGAACGUAGCGAAAUGCGAUACGUAAUGUGAAUUGCAGAAUUCAGUGAAUCAUCGAGUCUUUGAACGCACAUUGCGCCCCCUGGUAUUCCGGGGGGCAUGCCUGUCCGAGCGUCAUUGCUGCCCUCAAGCACGGCUUGUGUGUUGGGCCUCCACCCCCCGGCUCCCGGGGGGCGGGCCCGAAAGGCAGCGGCGGCACCGCGUCCGGUCCUCGAGCGUAUGGGGCUUCGUCACCCGCUCCGUAGGCCCGGCCGGCGCCCGCCGGCGACCCCCCUCAAUCUUUCCAGGUUGACCUCGGAUCAGGUAGGGAUACCCGCUGAACUUAAGCAUAUCAAUAAGCGGAGGA